AAAUUCUGCCUGGUAUCACUGAAAUGUGGUCACAUUGCAAUGUCUCUGGUACCUGAGAGUAGGGUGCCAGCCUCUGUCAAAACAGACUCCAUUCCAGAGCUGGUAUAGUCAAAAGAAUAUAACUUUCUUGGGGUGGUCACCAUAUAAAGUCCAGUUUUGCCUAUUUAGCAUGUGAGUCUCCCCAAGGUUGUGACCUUCCUUGAGGAAGACCCUUUCCUUGGGCUUCCUAAUAAAGGGGCUCCUUGUACUCUGCUAGAGGCUGAGGUAGCUUCAGGGUAGAGUAGCUUCAGGGUUCUGCCCCAGGGUAGAGAACUCUGAAAACUUCUGGAGCCUGGAGGUUCCUUCAGGUCAAGUUGACCCUACCCACCCUGAAGUUUCCUGGGCAUUUCUCUUCCUCUCAUUCAGAGAUUGCAAAUUGGUAGCCUGCACACCUGCUUUGCUUCCCACAUUGUUCAAAAAAGAUUUUACAUAAAUAUCUAGAUUUUUUUAGGAAAAAAAAUCAGUACAUAUGAGAACACAGAGCUGGCACUCACUCACUGAACAAGUCAGCAGGAGCUGAACAGAAGAAUGUCUGGGUGGGGUGGGGACCCAGCUUAUGACUUAUUUAGAGACAGGGUCUUGCUGAGUUGCUUAGACCCUUGCUAAGUUGUUGAGGCUAGCUUUGAAUUCACGAUCCUUCUGCUUCAGCCUCCAGAGCUGCUGGGAUUACAGAUGUGCACCAUGAAGCCCUAAGUCCCCCCAUCCCUUUUCCACACACACACAUAUACAUCCAGCUGUCUCCCCUAGCAGACUACAAACCCCAUGAGGGCAGGAACAAUUGAUGUGCUUCACAUGGCAAGUUCUCAGUGAUGUACUUCUUGCCUCCACUCCAGCUCUCUAUAGCACCUCCUUGGCCCUCAGGAUUUAAACGUCUCUUCUGGUUCCAGGUGUAGGGGGUCAUGAUUCCUGAAGACUUAUGGGAAAGGAGAGGAUGUCAUCCUGGGUCUUGGGGAAGCGGAGGCCUGAGCGGCCACUUUGCUGGAACUUCUUACUCUUUGUGGCCACUGGCCUCUGCUGGAAUUUCAGAAGCACUCACCCCAUUUUGGUUUGUUUUGGGGGGUUCUUUUUGUUUGUUUGUUUUUAUUUUUGCCAUUUUUUAAAGAUCAAAACAUCGUUUCAUAGCUG
rnacentral:lncRNA from 1 species